rnacentral:lncRNA from 1 species
GAAUGUGAUAAUUUAUGGAAUUAUCUCUUUAAUGAAGUGAGUCAUGUGGCCUGUGUUUUGCAGUGAAAGAAUAAAGGCAAUGGAGCAGCAGAUAGCCAGUCUUACUGGACUCGUUCAACAUGCUCUUAUGAAAGGGCCAAAUCCAAGUGCCAAAGGGACUUCUAGUGAGAAUCCUGUAAAGAUGGGGUCUCCGACACAGAAUGGUGGCGUCUGUACUGUAACAUCAUCUAAAGACCCGGUUGUGCAGACAGACAGUAUUUCAGCCCAGGUUCAGCCUCCUGUUAGAGACCCUGCUAUAUGCUCAGUCCUCUCCACCUUCAGGAGAAAC